UACAGAGGUCCCAAGCGUUGUUCGGAUUCACUGGGCGUAAAGGGUGCGUAGGCGGUCGGGUAAGUCUGAUGUGAAAUCUCACAGCUUAACUGUGAGACUGCAUUGGAUACUAUCCGGCUAGAGGAAUGGAGGGGAGACUGGAAUACUUGGUGUAGCAGUGAAAUGCGUAGAUAUCAAGUGGAACACCAGUGGCGAAGGCGAGUCUCUGGACAUUUCCUGACGCUGAGGCACGAAAGCCAGGGGAGCAAACGGG
rnacentral:rRNA from 1 species